AAACAGAGCCUAGAGAUUUACAAUUAUUGCACUUCAAAGAAUAGCCGUGGACGAUAUAUUGUACUGGUCUCAGUUCCAGUCAUAGCUAUGAGCCAGUUGUAAUCUAUUGGUGCUGCUGAAUUCAUUGCUGACUUGUGAAAUAUACAAUAUAUACUGCUGAUGUGGAAAAAAAUUCUACUCUGUCAUAAACUUUCGUUGAAGCCGGUGGACGAACGUUUAAAUACAAUCCUUCCGCACAUCGACAUCUAAAAACAGGAUGUGUUCAAAGAUAAAUUCUGUGUGAAAAUUACGCCUCAAUGAUCAAGAUUUGUAAUGGGGAAAAGCAGCAGCUGUACACCGGCUUAAGCCUAUUUUUGACCUUCAUAGACCUGGAAAGCCAUACGGUCGAAUUGCGGAGAAAAACUAAUGCUUCGAUGAUUUUUAAUGCCUUAAAGCAUGCCCAUAAUUUUGAAACUGUUGCUAUUUGUCGCACGCAAAAAAAAGACUCCGUAAUUCAAUUAUCAAAGAAAACAACUGCAGGGUGUUUGGUCGAAUCAGGAUUUAUGACCAAAAUCCAAAGAAAACGACGUGUAGAUUUUGCUCAUUCUCAUUGGUGUUGGACUUUGAGCCAGUCCAAGUAUGUCGUUUGGAACUAUGACACGAAAAAUAAACGCAUUGGUCCCGAUGGCCGGAGGCCCUCGGCCGUAUAUCGUUUCAGCGGUUACGUGUAUUGAAGCAUAGCGGAGGAUCAAUCAUUCAAUGGGGAUGUUUUUCCCUUAAAGAUGUUGGUCCACUCUGUACGAUAAAUGGAUUUUUAAAUAAGGAGAAACACGUCGUUAACUAGAGAAUGUCAUGUUGCCUUGGGCUAAGGAGAAUUCGGCUGUUAUAAGGAAAAUUCAACAGAAUAGCCAUCAUCCAGAUGAAUGUGUCGUCGUAUAUCUCGCAUAGCUCAUUGUUCCAUGGGCUGCGGUAUCCGCCGUUCCCAAUUCGUAGUGGAUCAUAAUUCUUACGCAAAACCUUCCUGUUGAUGAUUCUUCCCCGUCUGAUCAGAAGUGGUCAUAGUCCAUGCCACCGCACCAUAUGGUUACGGGACGGGAACUAUGAUCGACUUAAAGCUAUGCCGCUUGGGGAGAUCGAGCGGCUUUAGUUCUUUCACAAGCUGUAUUUUGCAUUAUUCAUUUAUU